rnacentral:lncRNA from 1 species
CUAUGUUAAGAUAUGCUCCCAAAAAACAUAUGGUUUAUUAACCUCACAUGUAAACCCACCCUCCCAAGAAUCAGACCAUUGCAAUUUAUCUGACUUUAGUUUAACCCGUAUGAAGUCCCUGCUUCUACAUUCAUCUGGUUAUCUUGUUGGAUUAUUCUACCAAGCCUAUGCAUGUUAAGCUAUUCUUGGGCGAACAAUGCAGAUAUGAUAGGGUGGUAGGCCUCAUUGUCCGCCAUUAACACUUUGAUUGAAAAUAUCGCUCAGCUGCUUGAAACUAAGGUCAAUGAAGUGGUGUGGGAAUAACCAAUGCUUCCUAGGCCUACUAUAUGUUUGGAGAUCUCCACAUGUGUGCUUGACAUGUUAAUAUUUCAUAUUGUUCUAAGGAUCCAAGAGAGACCAUGUG